AUUGAACGCUGGCGGCAUGCCUUACACAUGCAAGUCGAACGGCAGCAUGAUCUAGCUUGCUAGAUUGAUGGCGAGUGGCGAACGGGUGAGUAAUACAUCGGAACGUGCCCUGUAGUGGGGGAUAACUAGUCGAAAGAUUAGCUAAUACCGCAUACGACCUGAGGGUGAAAGUGGGGGACCGCAAGGCCUCAUGCUAUAGGAGCGGCCGAUGUCUGAUUAGCUAGUUGGUGAGGUAAAGGCUCACCAAGGCGACGAUCAGUAGCUGGUCUGAGAGGACGAUCAGCCACACUGGGACUGAGACACGGCCCAGACUCCUACGGGAGGCAGCAGUGGGGAAUUUUGGACAAUGGGCGAAAGCCUGAUCCAGCAAUGCCGCGUGUGUGAAGAAGGCCUUCGGGUUGUAAGGCACUUUUGUCCGGAAAGAAAUGGCUCUGGUUAAUACCUGGGGUCGAUGACGGUACCGGAAGAAUAAGGACCGGCUAACUACGUG
rnacentral:rRNA from 1 species